rnacentral:tRNA from 2 species
AUUAGAGAAACAGGAUUUGAACCCGCACUAGAAGACUCAAAAUCCUCUGUACUCCCAAUAUACUACUCUCU